UUGCAAAGCACCCCACUAAUUUGCUAAUUUGGCUAAGGUAAGAGCAAAGGUCUGAUAGUACUCCUACAGGAUUUUUAGAAAGACUAUUAGAGCGGUACAGGAUGUAAACUCAUUUUAAUCCCAUGGCAGCAGAUCGCCAAGCCAAUGUAGUGAUGUCUUUUAUAGGCCAGUCAGCAUCAGACAGCAAGUUGCAGAGAAUGGAGGGACGGCAGAGAUGCUCCCUUCAGGACUUAAUAAAAAAAAAAUUAGACAGAUAGGGAGGCAACAGAAGACGACAGCUGCAGAGACUGCGCACCUCAGACAGAGCAGCCCCUGAGUGGCCAAAUGCAGACUUCAGUGAGGAGUGGCCCUACAGGACUUUGGGCUCGAGACACUUCCCAAAGCAGCUGCUGAGCAGAAGCAGGUCGGAGAACGGUGCCAAGCACAGCCGGCUACUGAAGCAGCACUCUGCCCACCUGAGAGGCCAACGCAGCAGCCACAAUGAUAGUACUGAAAUCCCCCCCCCUUGCUUAUGCUGUGCACCCAGGUGUUCGAUUCUGGGGUGUACGGAAAAAAGGGGAGGGGUUCCCCCUCGCUAUGUCUAAAGCAUUUGACUAUGGACACAAGAACUGCUGAUUAUUCCUGAGUGUCCCACACUUUUAUUAAAAAAAGACCUGUUGGAGACUGAUUUCCCCUACUGUUCUCCAGGACUGUAAAGAAAAGCAGGCUGCUCUCUGCCUUCGCCAUGCCUACCUUGCUGAGGAAGGCUUUGCAGCCACUGCUGGCUGAAUCCUCCCAGCUGCCUUGGUCACAGCCCAAGCCUGGGAACUCUGCUUACAGCCACCUGCCCCCGCAGGUAGCAACUGACUGAAGCGAGGAGGGGACCUGGAGAUGCUGGAGCCCAAUUCCAAACAGCCUUCCUGAGCUGCUUGCAAGUUUCACAGAAAACAACUGCCCCCAGCUCCCAGACCGCAGCUGUGAAAAUCUUGGGGUACUGCAAUGCCCAAGCAGAGCAGGUUUUGAUGGCGCAUGCUGGUAAGGAGGCAGGGCAACAAUGAUAAAUGACCUGAGCAGCCUACUUAAAGGGACAUCACCUGGAUGGCAGAGAAGCUUUUUCUUACCAGGACUAAGAAGAUCAAAGAAGAAAUCUUCUCGAGGUUUGGCCUGCUCAAGGCGCGGUUGAAGGCUCUCCAGAUCGCCGAGCCCAGGCAUAGAGACCCCUGGCCACCCUGACACCUGGAAAUCUCGCAUUCGUUCCAGAAUUGACGCCUGGGGUAUAUCCGGAGGGACAUGAGGAAAGCUGCAGCACCCCACAGCCAGAACGGCAGCUGCCCACUCAUACCUGCAAUCCAUGCCUCCUCAAGCCCUUGCUUCGAUACCCCUGCCCUCACCCCUGAUUUCUGUCAACUAGUAGCAGGGCUAGCCUCCUGGGAUAUCUGAGAUACAUAUCCCCCACAGCUGCCCCGGGAGGCUGGCAAAAGAUUUUCCCCUGGAGGAAAUAUUUGGACACGGGGGUUCAGACAUCUCCCCCACUUGUCUCCUAAGGGCGAGAAGUGGGACUGUCUCCAUGGGUGUCGGGAAGGACUUGGGACAUAAAAUGGUAUUUAUCUGACCAGAGCCUGCUGCUGCAGGCCAGACUAGACCGUCCCUAAAGGGGCCCUAGCUAUCCCUGCUGCUGCCAGCCAGACUAAGCUACUCUCCCUGCUUCUCUGCUGGCACCUCCCAACACCAGCCCGGGCACCCGGAAAUCUCACACCCGCUCCAGGUUGGCGAUUCUGUGUAUGUUCAGAGACACCGGUCCCAGAACCUUAAACCUCGCUGGAAGGGACCCUACACCUACUGCCCUCAGAGUGGACGAUCUUGCAGCCUGGAUCCAUGCAUCUCACAUCAAGCCUACACCUCCACAGGACGACCCAGGACCAUCCAAAUGAAAGUUUCAGCGUACCCAAAAUCCUCUCGCCUCUUGGGAGGAUACUGAGCAAACCCCUGGAAACUUUUAUCCUGUAUGCAAAUAUUCUGAAUGAUAUGUUUGUCCGGGGGAAAAACAAUAUUGGGGGGGGGCGGCUAAAGUUUAUUGUGCUGCCUGGGGAUGUAAAACCAAUGUCAAUGUCUCCUGGUUGAGGGUUAACAAAAAGGACUUAGUCUCUUUCACCCGUACCACACCAGAAAAAAUGUCUGAAAUCACAAUCACUUUUACUGAGAAAAAAAAAUCUGACAGGCAAUACUUGGGGUUUAUAGUUAUAUGAUCCAGAAAAAAAAAGACAUAGGGAUUCUGUUCACCCUGUGAGUUGUAACACCUCCAAUGACCAUAGUACUAGGGCCCAACCCAGUAUUAACUGACCAGGGCCAAUGAGCCCCUGCCGAGGUAGCCCCCCUUUCCAGGGCCCUGGGCUCCACUCCUAGUCCUAAAAACCCUUCUACAACUCCUGCUUCACUGCUGGCAAGCUCUAAUACAGGCCAGUGACUGUUUAAUCUGAUAGUGGGAGCCUUUUCUUUGCUAAAUAGUACUGACCCCAGCUUGACACAAUCUUGUUGGCUAUGCUUGUCAGCAGGACCUCCCUAAUAUGAGAAAAUAGUCUCAUCUGACAGUUUAUUGAUCUAUGAUGGGUCUAUAACACUGGUUUGUUAAUCUCUGUGUACAGAUCCAAUUGGUCCUCCAAAUUUACUAAUAUCUCAAGAUUGAGAUAUUUGACCAAAUAAGAGGAAGGAAUGUAAGACUUUAAGACAAUCCUGAAGCCAUUUUUGACAAUUCUGAAUCCUCUCAGCCUCUGUGCCAUAGUGCUUCCCCUCCUGCCUUGGGAACCAAAGACCUAACAGCUACACUCACACGUACUCAGUUCCUGAACAAUUACCCAUAUACGUAUGCUUUGGUUCGGUCCCCUGGGAAACGGGGUCAAAAUGACCUCUUACCUCAUCUGAUCUGGCAACAGCUCCCCAGUCAAUUAUUGGUAAUAGCCCUUUCAAAUAAGCCAAUCAGAAUAGUCAAAGAACAACCCCCCUUGCUUCUGUGGCCCCUUUAAAAGUAGACUGUACCCGCUAUUCGAGGUCCCUCGGCUUCCCGAAUGCUGGGGGCCCCUGUCAUGACAGAAUUAAUAAAAUCCUCAUGCUUUUG